UACGAAGGGGGCUAGCGUUGUUCGGAUUCACUGGGCGUAAAGGGUGCGUAGGCGGUCGGGUAAGUCUGAUGUGAAAUCCCGCAGCUCAACUGCGGAAUGGCAUUGGAUACUAUUUGGCUAGAGGGUUGGAGGGGGAACUGGAAUUCUCGGUGUAGCAGUGAAAUGCGUAGAUAUCGAGAGGAACACCAGUGGCGAAGGCGAGUCCCUGGACAACUCCUGACGCUGAGGCACGAAAGCUAGGGGAGCAAACAGG
rnacentral:rRNA from 1 species